rnacentral:rRNA from 1 species
GACGAACGCUGGCGGCGUGCUUAACACAUGCAAGUCGAACGGAAAGGCCCUGCUUUUGUGGGGUGCUCGAGUGGCGAACGGGUGAGUAACACGUGAGUAACCUGCCCUUGACUUUGGGAUAACUUCAGGAAACUGGGGCUAAUACCGGAUAGGAGCUCCUGCUGCAUGGUGGGGGUUGGAAAGUUUCGGCGGUUGGGGAUGGACUCGCGGCUUAUCAGCUUGUUGGUGGGGUAGUGGCUUACCAAGGCUUUGACGGGUAGCCGGCCUGAGAGGGUGACCGGCCACAUUGGGCCUGCGAUACGGCCCAGACGCCUACGGGAGGCAGCAGUGGGGAAUAUUGCACAAUGGGCGGAAGCCUGAUGCAGCAACGCCGCGUGCGGGAUGACGGCCUUCGGGUUGUAAACCGCUUUCGCAUGUGACGAAGCGUGAGUGACGGUAAUGGGUAAAGAAGCACCGGCUAACUACGUG